ACGCUCGACACCUACGGAGGCAGCAGUGAGGGAUAUUGGUCAAUGGGGGAAACCCUGAACCAGCAACGCCGCGUGAGGGAUGACGGUCUUCGGAUUGUAAACCUCUGUCCUCUGUGAAGAUAAUGACGGUAGCAGAGGAGGAAGCUCCGGCUAACUACGUGCCAGCAGCCGCGGUAAUCUGAGGCGGGCUGGCAAGGC
rnacentral:rRNA from 1 species